UGAGAGGUUGGCGCGGGUAAGCGCCUCGCCAACCCGGUCAGAUCUGGAAAGAAGCAGCCGUAACGAGUUUUGCUUGGGUCGUUAUCAACCUCUCACUU
rnacentral:SRP_RNA from 1 species